rnacentral:rRNA from 1 species
CAUGCAGUCGACGGUGAAGAGGAGCUUGCUCCUCUGGAUCAGUGGCGAACGGGUGAGUAACACGUGAGUAACCUGCCCUUGACUCUGGGAUAAGCGUUGGAAACGACGUCUAAUACCGGAUAUGAACCGUGGAGGCAUCUCCUGCGGUUGGAAAGAAUUUCGGUCAAGGAUGGACUCGCGGCCUAUCAGGUAGUUGGUGAGGUAACGGCUCACCAAGCCGACCACGGGUAGCCGGCCUGAGAGGGUGACCGGCCACACUGGGACUGAGACACGGCCCAGACUCCUACGGGAGGCAGCAGUGGGGAAUAUUGCACAAUGGGCGCAAGCCUGAUGCAGCAACGCCGCGUGAGGGACGACGGCCUUCGGGUUGUAAACCUCUUUUAGCAGGGAAGAAGCGAAAGUGACGGUCCCUGCAAAAAAAGCACCGGCAAACUACGUGCCAGC